rnacentral:rRNA from 1 species
AGGAAUAUUGGUCAAUGGACGCAAGUCUGAACCAGCCAUGCCGCGUGCAGGAUGACGGCUCUAUGAGUUGUAAACUGCUUUUGUACGAGGGUAAACGCAGAUACGUGUAUCUGUCUGAAAGUAUCGUACGAAUAAGGAUCGGCUAACUCCGUGCCAGCAGCCGCGGUAAUACGGAGGAUUCAAGCGUUAUCCGGAUUUAUUGGGUUUAAAGGGUGCGUAGGCGGUUUGAUAAGUUAGAGGUGAAAUGUUAGGGCUCAACCCUGAAACUGCCUCUAAUACUGUUGGACUAGAGAGUAGUUGCGGUAGGCGGAAUGUAUGGUGUAGCGGUGAAAUGCUUAGAGAUCAUACAGAACACCGAUUGCGAAGGCAGCUUACCAAACUAUAUCUGACGUUGAGGCACGAAAGCGUGGGGAGCAAACAGGAUUAGAUACCCUGGUAGUCCACGCAGUAAACGAUGAUAACUCGUUGUCGGCGAUACACAGUCGGUGACUAAGCGAAAGCGAUAAGUUAUCCACCUGGGGAGUACGUUCGCAAGAAUGAAACUCAAAGGAAUUGACGGGGGCCCGCACAAGCGGAGGAACAUGUGGUUUAAUUCGAUGAUACGCGAGGAACCUUACCCGGGCUUGAAAGUUAGCGACGAUUCUUGAAAGAGGAUUUCCCUUCGGGGCGCGAAACUAGGUGCUGCAUGGUUGUCGUCAGCUCGUGCCGUGAGGUGUCGGGUUAAGUCCCAUAACGAGCGCAACCCCUACCGUUAGUUGCCAUCAGGUCAAGCUGGGCACUCUGGCGGGACUGCCGGUGUAAGCCGAGAGGAAGGUGGGGAUGACGUCAAAUCAGCACGGCCCUUACGUCCGGGGCUACACACGUGUUACAAUGGUAGGUACAGAGGGCAGCUACCCAGCGAUGGGAUGCGAAUCUCGAAAGCCUAUCUCAGUUCGGAUUGGAGGCUGAAACCCGCCUCCAUGAAGUUGGAUUCGCUAGUAAUCGCGCAUCAGCCAUGGCGCGGUGAAUACGUUCCCG